GAUGAACGCUGGCGGCGUGCCUAAUACAUGCAAGUCGAGCGAACGGACGAGAAGCUUGCUUCUCUGAUGUUAGCGGCGGACGGGUGAGUAACACGUGGAUAACCUACCUAUAAGACUGGGAUAACUUCGGGAAACCGUAGCUAAUACCGGAUAAUAUUUUGAACCGCAUGGUUCAAAAGUGAAAGACGGUCUUGCUGUCACUUAUAGAUGGAUCCGCGCUGCAUUAGCUAGUUGGUAAGGUAACGGCUUACCAAGGCAACGAUGCAUAGCCGACCUGAGAGAGUGAUCGGCCACACUGGAACUGAGACACGGUCCAGACUCCUACGGGAGGCAGCAGUAGGGAAUCUUCCGCAAUGGGCGAAAGCCUGACGGAGCAGCGCCGCGUGAGUGAUGAAGGUCUUCGGAUCGUAAAACUCUGUUAUUAGGGAAGAACAUAUGUGUAAGUAACUGUGCACAGCUUGACGGUACCUAAUCAGAAAGCCACGGCUAACUACGUG
rnacentral:rRNA from 1 species